rnacentral:lncRNA from 1 species
UGGGAUGGAAGAGCUUGAAGCUCUAGAGGGUUCAUAAACAGAAACUCUAGGGCUGCUUGAAUGUCUGAAAGAUUUGGAAAAAACGAGUUCUCCUCCUCCAUCUGGAUAUUGAACAAUUUGUUCAAUACUUUCAGAACGCUGUGCAAUGGCUGGAACAGCAUUAGCAAAAUGCCAAUUUUCAGGAAAAUCAACAUCUUUCCACAAGAUCUUCUUGGGGAUGAUGAAAUCUGACUUAUCUAGCAUAUCUGAGUGAAAGUAAGUGGUCUCACCUUUAGGACUGGUGCAAAGAGCCCCAGAUCCAACGCUUGUGUUCAUGCUCUUAUAGGCAAACCUGG